GCCUGGAGGAAACGUACCGCUCUUCACCCCACUGGCUGCCUGCUGGCCCCUUGGCUUGGUGCCUUGUUAGAACAGCAGACUAUGCGAGAAAUGUGUGUCUCUAGGACUUCAGCUGGCACAAGUGCUGUGGCAGAGACAAAGAUAUCCUUCCACGUUUUGUCCAGCCACUACAGACAGAACAGUGAGCUAGUUAUGGGUCACAGGAAACAACAAUGGAGGAAAUGUUUUGGAAGGACAGGACCUUUCCACCUUCCAGCACAUGGGGAAAAGACUUAUUCCUGCUGCUGUCAUCACCAGUGAUAACAAGGGACACAUUUUGAGCCACGUACCAGGACCCAGCCAGACCCAUGGGUGGACUCUGAACCCAUCGAAUGAUGCCAGUGGAAAUGUGAAGAUAGAAUUCUUCUCAUCAACACUGAAAAAUGCCACCCGGCCCACUUCAUAAUCCAGAGAGACCCGGACCCGCGUGGGAGCCUGGCUUUCGUGAAGGCAAGUGUGCUCAGGGGACGUGAAAGCUUUGAACUUCCCUGCCCAGUUCCCCACUGCCCAGAUGCCCUCCUCCGGGCUGAACUGAAUCUCGCCCUUCCUCUUCACAUCUUCUCGAGAGACCCCUACGGCCCAUCCUCCUCCAUCCACCACCUCCACCUCCCAGUAGUAUCUCCCUGAGGUGUAGCCCUCGCAGCCCAGCACGCAGCGCCAGGGGUCAAAUCUCUGAGGGAGGCUGGGGACGUUCUGCAGCUUGUCCUCUCGCUUCACGCUUUUGCAGUCAUCAGACAGGACAAGGUCACAGUGGGCUGUGUCUGAAUCCAGAACCACCGCCACUGUGGGACAGAGGGAGUCAACACGUCAGGGCAGAGCUCUCCCCAGGAGAGGCCUCUGCUGAGGCUGCCUCAGGAAGAAGAAAAAGGGUGAAGGUGACAGUUUGCUGGCUGUGGUAUGAGAAGAUGCACAAGCGAUGGCAUUAGUGUGAGGAGCAGAAAAUGAACCAGAGAGAUGACCCUGAGCACACAGGGAAGAGGACCAUCAGCACACCUCCAGGCUGAAGAAGUCCUUGAAUCUCUAAAGCAUGGCCAGCGCUGCUCACUAAGGACCAGGACUCUUCAGAUUUGUCUGAGAGUGGAACAUGCACCGAGUGAAUGAGGGGACUGAGUGCUGCACUGCAAAGUAAGCAUCCCUGGUGCCACCAGCAGGAGGGGAGUUGUCAGGAAGAGAAAGAAAAGCAGGGAAGAUGAUUCAGCCCCCUGGAAGACAGAACUUCAAUUACCAUUUUCAACAGGCACUGCAUAUCUUCUCCAUUCUUAAAACAAAAACAGAAGACAAAAACAAACAAAAGAAAAAUACUGAUGAGAAGUAAUCUGAACACCCUCGUGGUACUGGAAUAGCUCAACAUAAUGAUAUGCUGGUGUAAUUGCACAUUUCCUGAACUGUAGCUGUAUUUGUAAAAGUCAUCUCACAGUGUGUAAUUUCAAAACUUCAGUGUCUAGUUACAUGGAAUUGCUUCACCCAUUCCGAUAAAUAUGAUCCCUUUGUCUGGCCUCACACAAAUACUUACCCUCUGUUUGUACUUUGUGAAAUGAAAGCAAUUUUUUCUUGGUAUAGAAGGAUUACAGAGAGUAACAUAAAAACAGAGCAAAGGAAAACAAUGUUUCUGAAAUGAGUUCAGCAUUUGCCACCUCUUCCUUUCCCAAAAGAAAAAAACAAAACAAAACAAAACUAGGCCAUAAAUGCAACACCCAAAUGAGAAAAUGAAAGUCUCUUACCAGGAAGUCUCUUACUAAGGAAGGAGAAUGAUACUCACCAAGCUCCUCAGCUUGUCUCUCUGCAAAACAAAAUGCAUGUAAAUCAUCACAAAUGGGUUGUGGGAUGUCGGCUUGGAUAUCACCUCUCCUGCAACCAUCUGCCUGUGCAGGAGGCUGUACUUCUGCCGACCCCAGCAAUGCAAAGCCCUUGAAGGGUGACGGUGCAGGUCCUGCUUCAGCCCAGGGCUGAGAGAGGUCCCUGAGAGGUCCCUCUCUGGCCAGGGGAUGUGUCCCACAGCGCUGCCAUCAGCUUACGGUGUGUGCAGGGAGCCCCCAGCAUGCUCACCCUGCCACUGUUGUCAGCCACACCCCAACCCCAGAUACCAUUUUCAAUCAUCUUGCAUUUUGGCGGUCUUAAAUUCCCUCACUCUUUCUUUUCCCCACACUCUCAGCUGCUCUUAGGUUCACUUCACAUCUUAAGAAUAUACAGUCAGUAAAAAGUCCUUUUUAAGGAAUGGAAGAA